rnacentral:rRNA from 1 species
UACGAAGGGGGCGAGCGUUGUUCGGAUUUACUGGGCGUAAAGGGCGCGUAGGCGGCCCUCCUUGUCGCGUGUGAAAGCCCUGGGCUCAACCUGGGAAUGGCAUUGGAUACUGGCGACCUAGAGUGCGGUAGAGGGGUGUGGAAUUCCCGGUGUAGCAGUGAAAUGCGUAGAUAUCGGGAGGAACAUCUGUGGCGAAGGCGGCUCGCUGGACCUCUUCUGACGCUGAGGCGCGAAAGCCAGGGGAGCAAACGGG